CGGCCGAGCGCGGGCUCCCCGCACCGAGCGCGGCGGCGCUCCCGGCCGAGGGGCGGCGGGGGUUACCUGGCGGCACGGGGCCGAUCCGAUCGGCGCCGCCGCCGGCUCCCUCGCUCCCUGUCGCGCGGCCGCGCUCGCUGCCCCGCUCCUCGUCCUCACAGCGCUGCCAUUACCCAAGCCGCUCGCCCCUCGCGCCCCGCCCCUCUCCGGCGCCGCCACCGCGGGCGGGGGUGAGGCGAGGCGAGGCGAGCGGCGCCGCCCCCGCGCCCCUUCCUUACCGCGGCACCGCGAGCCGCCCGGCACUUCCACCCCGCGCCGUGCUCUCCCCGCCGAGCGCAGGCCGGUUGGGGGCGACGGCUCAAGCCGCGCCGUCGCUUUCCGACCGCGUCUCCCCGUCGGAGGAGACGGAUUUGGUUCAGAAGUCCAAAGUAAGCUCCCUGAAAAUCAUGUUGCAUGGAUACUAAGACCUCAGCACCAACAGUUUUCUCUGGAAGUUCUCCUCUUGUAUCACUUGGAGCUGCCCCUUCUGCUUAUGUUCACACUACAUCUAGCAGUGUUAUUCUGGUCCAAAAUUAGGAACAAUAAAGCCUACAAUAAUACAGAUGCUGUUUGA
rnacentral:lncRNA from 1 species